rnacentral:rRNA from 1 species
AUUGAACGCUGGCGGCAUGCUUUACACAUGCAAGUCGAACGGCAGCGCAGGCAUAGCUCUCUCUGAGGGUGGGGGAGGGGCGGGCGGUGGAUGAAAACAUCCCCAUUUACGGGGGCUUGGGGGGUGACGUAGGGAAACUUACGCCAAUCACGCUGAGGGCGUACGCGUGGGAGCGGAAGAUCUUCCGCCCUUGCGCCAGCGGAUGACGCGAUGUCGGAUUAGCUAGUUGGCGGGGUAAAGGCCCACCAAGGCGACGAUCCGUAGCUGGUCUGAGAGGAUGAUCAGCCACACUGGAACUGAGACACGGUCCAGACUCCUACGGGAGGCAGCAGUGGGGAAUAUUGGACAAUGGGCGCAAGCCUGAUCCAGCCAUACCGCGUGGGUGAAGAAGGCCUUCGGGUUGUAAAGCCCUUUUGUUGGGAAAGAAAAGCAGCAGGUUAAUACCCCGCUGUUCUGACGGUACCCAAAGAAUAAGCACCGGCUAACUUCGUG